rnacentral:rRNA from 2 species
UUCUUGGCUGAAAGAUGGCGUAAGCUAUCGCUUUUGGAUGGACCCGCGGCGUAUUAGCUAGUUGGUGAGGUAAUGGCUCACCAAGGCGAUGAUACGUACCCGAACUGAGAGGUUGAUCGGCCACAUUGGGACUGAGACACGGCCCAAACUCCUACGGGAGGCAGCAGUAGGGAAUCUUCCACAAUGGACGCAAGUCUGAUGGAGCAACGCCGCGUGAGUGAAGAAGGCUUUCGGGUCGUAAAACUCUGUUGUUGGAGAAGAAUGGUCGGCAGAGUAACUGUUGUCGGCGUGACGGUAUCCAACCAGAAAGCCACGGCUAACUACGUGCCAGCAGCCGCGGUAAUACGUAGGUGGCAAGCGUUAUCCGGAUUUAUUGGGCGUAAAGCGAGCGCAGGCGGUUUUUUAAGUCUGAUGUGAAAGCCCUCGGCUUAACCGAGGAAGCGCAUCGGAAACUGGGAAACUUGAGUGCAGAAGAGGACAGUGGAACUCCAUGUGUAGCGGUGAAAUGCGUAGAUAUAUGGAAGAACACCAGUGGCGAAGGCGGCUGUCUGGUCUGUAACUGACGCUGAGGCUCGAAAGCAUGGGUAGCGAACAGGAUUAGAUACCCUGGUAGUCCAUGCCGUAAACGAUGAAUGCUAGGUGUUGGAGGGUUUCCGCCCUUCAGUGCCGCAGCUAACGCAUUAAGCAUUCCGCCUGGGGAGUACGACCGCAAGGUUGAAACUCAAAGGAAUUGACGGGGGCCCGCCAAGCGGUGGAGCAUGUGGUUUAAUUCGAAGCAACGCGAAGAACCUUACCAGGUCUUGACAUCUUUUGAUCACCUGAGAGAUCAGGUUUCCCCUUCGGGGGCAAAAUGACAGGUGGUGCAUGGUUGUCGUCAGCUCGUGUCGUGAGAUGUUGGGUUAAGUCCCGCAACGAGCGCAACCC